rnacentral:rRNA from 1 species
UGCCAGACUCCUACGGGAGGCAGCAGUGGGGGAUAUUGCACAAUGGGGGAAACCCUGAUGCAGCGACGCCGCGUGAGUGAAGAAGUAUUUCGGUAUGUAAAGCUCUAUCAGCAGGGAAGAAAAAAGACGGUACCUGACUAAGAAGCUCCGGCUAAAUACGUACCAGCAGCCGCGGUAAUACGUAUGGAGCAAGCGUUAUCCGGAUUUACUGGGUGUAAAGGGAGCGCAGGCGGCCUUGCAAGUCUGAUGUGAAAGGCCGGGGCCCAACCCCGGGACUGCAUUGGAAACUGCGAGGCUGGAGUGUCGGAGAGGCAGGCGGAAUUCCUAGUGUAGCGGUGAAAUGCGUAGAUAUUAGGAGGAACACCAGUGGCGAAGGCGGCCUGCUGGACGAUGACUGACGCUGAGGCUCGAAAGCGUGGGGAGCAAACAGGAUUAGAUACCCUCGUA